UACAGAGGGUGCAAGCGUUGUUCGGAAUUAUUGGGCGUAAAGGGCGUGUAGGCGGUUUGCUAAGUCAUGUGUGAAAUCCCUCGGCUUAACCGAGGAACGACGCAUGAUACUGGCAAGCUAGAGUACCAAAGAGGGGGGUGGAAUUCCCGGUGUAGCGGGUGAAAUGCGUAGAUAUCGGGAAGAACACCCGUGGCGAAGGCGGUUCUCUGG
rnacentral:rRNA from 1 species